rnacentral:rRNA from 1 species
AUUGAACGCUGGCGGCAGGCUUAACACAUGCAAGUCGAGCGGAGAUGAGGUGCUUGCACCUUAUCUUAGCGGCGGACGGGUGAGUAAUGCUUAGGAAUCUGCCUAUUAGUGGGGGACAACAUUCCGAAAGGAAUGCUAAUACCGCAUACGUCCUACGGGAGAAAGCAGGGGAUCUUCGGACCUUGCGCUAAUAGAUGAGCCUAAGUCGGAUUAGCUAGUUGGUGGGGUAAAGGCCUACCAAGGCGACGAUCUGUAGCGGGUCUGAGAGGAUGAUCCGCCACACUGGGACUGAGACACGGCCCAGACUCCUACGGGAGGCAGCAGUGGGGAAUAUUGGACAAUGGGGGGAACCCUGAUCCAGCCAUGCCGCGUGUGUGAAGAAGGCCUUUUGGUUGUAAAGCACUUUAAGCGAGGAGGAGGCUACCGAGAUUAAUACUCUUGGAUAGUGGACGUUACUCGCAGAAUAAGCACCGGCUAACUCUGUGCCAGCCGCCGCGGUAACAC